AUUGAACGCUGGCGGCAUGCCUUACACAUGCAAGUCGAACGGCAGCAUGAUCUAGCUUGCUAGAUUGAUGGCGAGUGGCGUACGGGUGAGUAAUACAUCGGAACGUGCCCUGUAGUGGGGGAUAACUAGUCGAAAGAUUAGCUAAUACCGCAUACGACCUGAGGGUGAAAGUGGGGGACCGCAAGGCCUCAUGCUAUAGGAGCGGCCGAUGUCUGAUUAGCUAGUUGGUGAGGUAAAGGCUCACCAAGGCGACGAUCAGUAGCUGGUCUGAGAGGACGAUCGGCCACACUGGGACUGAGACACGGCCCAGACUCCUACGGGAGGCAGCAGUGGGGAAUUUUGGACAAUGGGCGAAAGCCUGAUCCAGCAAUGCCGCGUGUGUGAAGAAGGCCUUCGGGUUGUAAAGCACUUUUGUCCGGAAAGAAAUGGCUCUGGUUAAUACCUGGGGUCGAUGACGGUACCGGAAGAAUAAGGACCGGCUAACUACGUG
rnacentral:rRNA from 1 species